rnacentral:RNase_P_RNA from 1 species
UCAGUCGGCCGGACGGCCGCUCCGGCAAGCUCCGAAAGGAGGCCGGGGAGGAAAGUCCGGGCUCCACGGACAAGCGGUGCCGGAUAACGUCCGGCGGGGCGUUUCGCGCAAGCGGACAAGCCUCAGGGACAGUGCCACAGAGACUGAGACCGCCGCGCGGCGUAGCGUCAGGCGCGGCAAGGGUGAAAAGGUGCGGUAAGAGCGCACCGCGCCUGCGGCAACGCAGGCGGCACGGCAAACCCCACCGGGAGCAAAACCGAAUAGGAACGGUGCGAGGCGCAAGUCUCAGGCCUGUCCGGCCCAGCCGUUCGGGUAGGUUGCUUCAGGCGCCGGGCAACCGGCGUCGCAGAGGAAUGGCCGUCACGUGCGGCGCCGUUCGCGGCGUCGCGCCAUACAGAACCCGGCUUACAGGCUGCCUGACAUG